GUCGAGCGAACCGAUUAAGAGCUUGCUCUUAAGAAGUUAGCGGCGGACGGGUGAGUAACACGUAGGUAACCUGCCUAUAAGACUGGGAUAACUCCGGGAAACCGGGGCUAAUACCGGAUAACAUUUUGCACCGCAUGGUGCAAAAUUGAAAGGCGGCUUCGGCUGUCACUUAUAGAUGGACCUGCGGCGCAUUAGCUAGUUGGUGAGGUAACGGCUCACCAAGGCGACGAUGCGUAGCCGACCUGAGAGGGUGAUCGGCCACACUGGGACUGAGACACGGCCCAGACUCCUACGGGAGGCAGCAGUAGGGAAUCUUCCGCAAUGGACGAAAGUCUGACGGAGCAACGCCGCGUGAGCGAUGAAGGCCUUCGGGUCGUAAAGCUCUGUUGUUAGGGAAGAACAAGUGCUAGUUGAAUAAGCUGGCACCUUGACGGUACCUAACCAGAAAGCCACGGCUAACUACGUGCCAGCAGCCGCGGUAAUACGUAGGUGGCAAGCGUUAUCCGGAAUUAUUGGGCGUAAAGCGCGCGCAGGUGGUUUCUUAAGUCUGAUGUGAAAGCCCACGGCUCAACCGUGGAGGGUCAUUGGAAACUGGGAGACUUGAGUGCAGAAGAGGAAAGUGGAAUUCCAUGUGUAGCGGUGAAAUGCGUAGAGAUAUGGAGGAACACCAGUGGCGAAGGCGACUUUCUGGUCUGUAACUGACACUGAGGCGCGAAAGCGU
rnacentral:rRNA from 1 species